GUAACAAUAGCUUAAGUAAGAGCAUUGGUCUUGUAAGCCAAAGGUGAAAUAAUUGUUCUUGUUACU
rnacentral:tRNA from 1 species